rnacentral:rRNA from 1 species
AAAUGAAUAGACGGGGCCCCGCACAAGCAGUGGAUUAUGUGGUUUAAUUCGACGCAACGCGAAAAACCUUACCGGGGUUUGACAUCCUACUAACGAAGCAGAGAUGCAUUAGGUACCCUUCGGGGGAAGUAGAGACAGGUGGUGCAUGGUUGUCGUCAGCUCGUGUCGUGAGAUGUUGGGUUAAGUCCCGCAACGAGCGCAACCCUUAUUGUCAGUUGCUACGCAAGAGCACUCUGGCGAGACUGCCGUUGACAAAACGGAGGAAGGUGGGGACGACGUCAAAUCAUCAUGCCCCUUACAUCCCGGGCUACACACGUAAUACAAUGGCGUCUAACAGAGGGAGGCAAUACCGCAAGGUGGAGCGAAACCCUAAAAGGCGUCUCAGUUCGGAUCGAGGGCUGCAACUCGCCCUCGUGAAGUCGGAAUUGCUAGUAAUCGCGGAUCAGCAUGCCGCGGUGAAUACGUUCCCGGGGCUUGUACACACCGCCCGU